rnacentral:rRNA from 1 species
GUGAGGAAUAUUGGUCAAUGGGCGAGAGCCUGAACCAGUCAAGUCGCGUGAAGGAAGAAGGAUCUAUGGUUCGUAAACUUCUUUUGCAGGGGAAUAAAGUGCGGGACGUGUCCUGUUUUGUAUGUACCCUGAGAAUAAGGAUCGGCUAACUCCGUGCCAGCAGCCGCGGUAAUACGGAGGAUCCGAGCGUUAUCCGGAUUUAUUGGGUUUAAAGGGUGCGUAGGUGGUUUGAUAAGUCAGCGGUGAAAGUUUGCAGCUUAACUGUAAAAAUGCCGUUGAAACUGUCGGACUUGAGUGUAAAUGAGGUAGGCGGAAUGCGUGGUGUAGCGGUGAAAUGCAUAGAUAUCACGCAGAACUCCGAUUGCGAAGGCAGCUUACUAAGCUACAACUGACACUGAAGCACGAAAGCGUGGGGAUCAAACAGGAUUAGAUACCCCGGUAGUCC